rnacentral:lncRNA from 1 species
CUAUCAUCGGAGUUGGGCUGGGUUCCACAGCUCGAGUUUUCCCUUACUCGCUGGGCCCGCCCCCAGUCCUGCGCUUUCAAAGGGGUGUGGUUUUUGCUGGAAAAAAUGGCGGACCACCGCAGAAAGGAGUGCCAGGAUGUAGCGGCAUAGCACCCCGGCGUUGUCAGCGGAGUCCAGAGAAUUGGGGGCAGGGUGAGAAAUAAAAAUGAAAUCCGUCUGAUCAACCAGGGCCCCAGAUUUGGGGAAGCUAGUAUUUAGAUGGUAUAGGUUUUGUGUUCUGUGUCUCUGUUUAGGUGCCUGUAUCUGUGGAUCUCGCUCCCGAAGUCCAGUCAAAACGGAGAAGCAGGGAAGGGAGGAAAAGUUUCCAGAAUCAAAUCUGCAAGAAGCUGGAAAGGAGGAAGGGACUACUUGGAUCUCUGAGGGUGUAUGUGACCGUGUCCCUGUGAACCUGACUCAGGACAUCUGCAUACAAGCGUAAAGAUCAUUAUAUAUAUAUAUAUAUAUAUUAUAUAUGAUUGAAUAUAAUAUAU